GACGAACGCUGGCGGCGUGCCUAAUACAUGCAAGUAGGACGCAGUUGCGAACGGGUGAGUAACGCGUAGGUAACUACCUAUUUGAGGGGGAUAACUAUUGGCAACGAUAGCAAAUACCGCCUACUUGUAGAUGGACCUUCGUUGUAUUAGGUAGUAGGUAGGGUAAUGGGCUACCUAGGCAACGAUACAUAGCCGACCUGGAGUGGUGUACGGCCAAACUUGGACUGAGACACCGCCCAGACUCCGUGGGGAGGCAGCAGGAGGGAAACAUCGGCAAUGGGGGGAAACCUGAACGAGCAAAGCCGCGGUAGUGAAGAAGGUUUUCGGGUCGGAAAGCUCUGUUGUUAAGGAAGCGGUACUUAACCAGAAAGGGACGGCUAACUACGUGCCAGCAGCCGCGGUAAUAC
rnacentral:rRNA from 1 species